rnacentral:pre_miRNA from 1 species
GUAAGUUGUUGAUUGUGUUUCUUCCCAUAUUCAAAAUGAGGAAAACCGAUCAAUAAGCUUACAG